UGCGUCCUGGUGAGGACACUGCGUUUCUUUCAGACUUUGAAGAUCUGUCGUUUUAGAAAAGUGGCUGCCUCUGUCACCAGCCCCAUGGUUACUGUCCUGUAGUGUGACUGUCAGGAGGUGUUUCUCAGUCCUUCAUUGUAAGAAUGUAGAUGCCGGUUGCACGUUCUGUUGUCUUGGAAGAGACUGCAGUGCUUGGCUGGAAAUAAGCUGCUCGGGACUCCUCUGAGAAGCCAAAGUGAAGCUCAGAAUUGGAAAAUUUGGGCAGUUGUCUGGACAUUAGGAGUUGAGUCACCUCCUACCCAUGAGAAACAAGCCUGUGGGGGGACUGAUGUUAUCACUUCUGUCAUCAAGAAAUAAGGCCACGGGCAUCCCUGAAUAUAGAGCAUUUAUUAAUUGAACUGUGAAAAUGAAACACAGACAGUGAUGACAGCUGGAAGUUGGCCAAUGUCCUGUUGUCAUGGGGCCCUCAGCCUAGGGACUGGCCUGUGGCUCACUGGCCCUGUCUCCCACUCUCCACCUCUCAUCAGCACCUGGACCUGGUGCACCUGGUCUACCUCAUGUCCAGUGUUUUCCACAGUACCUGACUGGUAUCUCCACCCUUGGUUGUUGUGUGGUGAGCUCGUCCCUAUGUUGGCAAGUUACUUAAUUCCUUGGUGUCCUGCCUUCCUCAUUAUAAAAUGAGAAUAGUCAUAGCACGAAUGUCAUGCGUUCUUGUGAAGAUUUUAUGAUUAGCACACAAGUUACAAGGAGACAUGGUAACUGUUACGUACAUACUCAUUCAUUUGGAAAUAUAACAAACAGCUUAGUGUCUCCACUUGGGUCCCUCUGCCCUGCGGGAUCGGUAAAGAAUUGAUUCUCAUCCCCCAGAAGUGAGAUCUC
rnacentral:lncRNA from 1 species